AUCUGGCUCAGAACGAACGCUGGCGGCGCGUCUUAAGCAUGCAAGUCGAACGGCAAGAGGUAGCAAUACCUCCUAGAGUGGCGGACUGGUGAGUAACACGUGGGUGACAUACCCUUCAGAUGGGGAUAGCUAUUAGAAAUAGUAGAUAAUACCGAAUACGAGCACAGGGGUUAGAGAUCUGUGAGGAAAGGAGCUAAGGCUCCGCUGAAGGAAUGGCCUGCGGCCCAUUAGCUAGUUGGUGAGGUAAGAGCCCACCAAGGCGAUGAUGGGUAUCCGGCCUUAGAGGGUGAACGGACACAUUGGGACUGAGAUACGGCCCAGACUCCUACGGGAGGCAGCAGCUAAGAAUAUUCCGCAAUGGACGAAAGUCUGACGGAGCGACGCCGCGUGGAUGAAAGAAGGCCGGAAGGUUGUAAAAUCCUUUUGAAACUGAAGAAUAAGCGUUGUAGGGAAUGACAGCGUGGUGACAGUAGGUUUUGAAUAAGCAACGGCUAAUUACGUGCCAGCAGCUGC
rnacentral:rRNA from 1 species